UACGAAGGGGGCUAGCGUUGCUCGGAAUCACUGGGCGUAAAGCGCACGUAGGCGGAUUGCUAAGUCAGGGGUGAAAUCCUGGAGCUCAACUCCAGAACUGCCUUUGAUACUGGCGACCUUGAGUCCGGGAGAGGUGAGUGGAACUGCGAGUGUAGAGGUGAAAUUCGUAGAUAUCAAGCGGAACACCGGUGGCGAAGGCGGCCUUCUGGACAGUGACUGACGCAUGAGACGGCGAAA
rnacentral:rRNA from 1 species